AUACGUAGGGGGCAAGCGUUAUCCGGAUUUACUGGGUGUAAAGGGAGCGUAGACGGUAGGGUAAGUCAGAUGUGAAAGCCCGGGGCUCAACCCCGGGAUUGCAUUUGAAACUAUCCGACUAGAGUGCAGGAGAGGUAAGUGGAAUUCCUAGUGUAGCGGUGAAAUGCGUAGAUAUUAGGAGGAACACCAGUGGCGAAGGCGGCUUACUGGACUGUAACUGACGUUGAGGCUCGAAAGCGUGGGGAGCAAACAGGAUUAGAUACCCUGGUAGUCCACGCCGUAAACGGUGAAUACUAGGUGUUGGGGAGCAUAAGCUCUUCGGUGCCGUCGCAAACGCAUUAAGUAUUCCACCUGGGGAGUACGUUCGCAAGAAUGAAACUUAAAGGAAUUGACGGGG
rnacentral:rRNA from 1 species